rnacentral:rRNA from 1 species
GUGGGGAAUAUUGGUCAAUGGGGGAAACCCUGAACCAGCAACGCCGCGUGAAGGAAGAAGGCUUUCGGGUUGUAAACUUCUUUUACCAGGGACGAAACAAAUGACGGUACCUGGUGAAUAAGCCACGGCUAACUACGUGCCAGCAGCCGCGGUAAUACGUAGGUGGCGAGCGUUAUCCGGAUUUAUUGGGUGUAAAGGGCGUGUAGGCGGGACAGCAAGUCAGAUGUGAAAACCAGAGGCUCAACCUCUGGCCUGCAUUUGAAACUGUUGUUCUUGAGUGUCGGAGAGGUAAUCGGAAUUCCGUGUGUAGCGGUGAAAUGCGUAGAUAUACGGAGGAACACCAGUGGCGAAGGCGGAUUACUGGACGAUAACUGACGCUGAGGCGCGAAAGCGUGGGGAGCAAACAGGAUUAGAUACCCGUGUAGUCC